AGGAAAAUUAAAAUGGUCAGGAGGAGGAAUGGGCACAAUACAGCCGUGAGGUGGGGGCCCGGCAUAUAUACACCCACCAACACCCCCAAUUUAUUGGAACAAAGGUGUUUUCAGCUGAAAUGGAACAUUUGCAAAGUGACAAGAUGGGUCACGUCUGGACCAGCGAAGUGGUGUAAUUUUUUUAUUGCAAAGCUUCAUACAGAACCAUACAAAAUAUAAAUGGUGAUGUCCAACGACAAUGUAAAACAUGGAACA